CAGCCGCCGCGGGAAUACGGAGGGUGCAAGCGUUAAUCGGAAUUACUGGGCGUAAGGCGUGCGUAGGCGGUUCGUUAAGUCUGUUGUGAAAGCCCCGGGCUCAACCUGGGAAUUGCAAUGGAUACUGGCGAGCUAGAGUGUGUCAGAGGAUGGUGGAAUUCCCGGUGUAGCGGUGAAAUGCGUAGAUAUCGGAAGGAACACCUGUGGCGAAGGCGGCUCACUGGACCAUAACUGACGCUGAGGCGCGAAAGCUAGGGGAGCAAACAGGAUUAGAUACCCGCGUAGUCCCUGUCUCUUAUAC
rnacentral:rRNA from 1 species